rnacentral:lncRNA from 1 species
CGGGGCGGCGCUGCCACCCCACCUGGGUCUCUGCGGGGAGCCAGGAGCUAUAAUCCUAUUUAUUGCCCCGGGUGCGAGCCGUGUGCCAUCGCUGACGCACGGCAGCAGCUAAGCGGCGCAGAGACUUCAUAACCCCCUUUGAGGUGGCCCACAGUGCUGUUUGGUUCAUGAAGCCGGGCUCUAAGUAUUUCUGGAGAGUGACCAGUACAGCGAGGCUCCUGUGCGCUGUGACAGUGCAAGCUGCACAUGUGCAAGCCCCUAACCUGCAGUAUCAAGUCUAACCGUUACCCUCUGGACAUGGAUUACAAGCCCGGGGUUCCAGUGCUCGGAUCACAAAAAGAGGAUGCUGUGAAGCUGCAGAAACUCUGGCAGUAUGAAGGGAAGGAGAUCUCUGAUUUGGACUCUUUUCUGCCAUCAGCUGGAGGGCAGGAUCUUUCUGAGGCCUGUGGGAGGACAGGAUGUGCCAGGAGACCUGAACCACUGGUGAUAGGAGUGAGCACAGCAUCUGUUGUUUCAAGGAGAGCUCUGUGGCUGAGUGAGAAGGGCACUACCAUCCUUAUGGGUUGGGGUAAG